AAUACGGAGAGUGCAGAGUGCGGAGUUCGUCUUUUGCUGUGACAACAACGGCUACCGUCUCGUCAGUAACAGGAUGCCGGAUGUACAGAAUUUACCUUUAGACUUAACACCUUGCCUGUCUAAGAAGGAAUUUGAUAACCGGAACACACCAAACGAUGGAGACGGCGAUCCCAAUAAAGGCUUCUUCUACGAACGCAUGGCCAUUUCUCUUGUCUUCCUCCGCUGUCUCAGGAAGCAGCU